rnacentral:rRNA from 1 species
UACGUACUGUGCGAACGUUAUUCGGAAUCACUGGGCUUAAAGGGUGCGUAGGCGGCUAAUCAAGUCAGGUGUGAAAUGCCUGGGCUCAACCGAGGCACGGCGCUUGAAACUGAUUGGCUGGAGUGAGAUAGGGGUGUGCGGAACUUCCAGUGGAGCGGUGAAAUGUGUUGAUAUUGGAAGGAACGCCGUUGGCGAAAGCGGCAUACUGGGUCUUAACUGACGCUGAGGCACGAAAGCUAGGGGAGCGAACGGG